GGGAAGGGCUGUAGCUCAGAGGCAGAGCAUCUUUGCAGGCAGAAGGUCCCAGGUUCAAUCCCUGGCCUCCCUA